AGGAAUUGUUGUAUUAUAACAGGUUUUAUUGUAUUAUUACAGGUAUUGUAGAUGUGAGUUUAAGAUUCCAGUGAUUGUAGAGAGGGAGAAGCCACAGCCACUUGCUCAGACAGGAGAGAUUGAAGAAGAGGAGGUCAUAAUAACAGCAUACUCAAAGUGGGACACAGUGCAAAAAUCAUUGGUGAGGCCAGAUAAUCGACCAGUGAUUCUAAACAGGGCUUCAUCCACAAACACCAGCAAUCCAUUUGGUUCCACUUUCUGCUUUGGAGUACAGGACAUGAUAUUUGAAGUCAUGCAGAAUCAGCAUAUAGCAUCAGUGGCCAUAUAUCAGCAGAAACAGGUGACCCCUGUGGCUGUCUCUUGACAAACAGCGUUGCCUAGGUUACUCACUGCCCCGACCAAUGAAAUCGAAGUCUGCUAGUCAUGUGAUAACAUCAUAGAAAUAACUGCCAAUGAAAUUCUUCCUAUUCAAUGUUUUCUCUGGUUCACAGACUCUUUUUCAGAUGAAUAAGUGCUUUUAUGAAAUUCUGGAUUUUUUUCUAUAAAUAGAUUUAUGUUCUAUUUAUAGAUUUUAUGUUCUAUUUAUAAUUUUAUGUUCUAUUUUUAGAUUUAUUGAAGAGUAUUUGUAAUCCAUUAUGAGAAGACAUUUUGCAUUUUCUGUUACACCUUAUAUAAGAUUUGAGGCAUAUUUCAGCUUUAGAGUUAAUGCAAUUUUAUACAGGAAAUGAAUACUGGACCUAUUUUGCAUUAUCAAUUUGCCAGGCUCGCCUAAAAUCUUUGGUCUUUGAUUAAUUCAAUUUGAAUUUUUACACCCAUGUUGUGACACUUGCAGAAUUUUGUUGCAAAUGACAGAAAAAGAGGGGUUUGAUUGAAUAAGAGGUUUAAAGGAAGAGGUAUAAGAAAAAAUGAGAGGUUUGAUUAAAUAUUUGAGAGAAAGAGGUAUAAAAAAGGCUUAGGGGUUUGAUUAAAUAUUUGAGAGGUUUAAGAAAGAGGUAUAUGAAACAAGAGGAGUUUCAUUAAGUAUUUGAGAGGCUAUAGAAAGAAGUAUUAUAAAAAAAAUGAGGGGUUUGAUGAAAUAUUUUAGAGGUUUAAGAAAGAGGUAUAUAAAAAAAAGCGAUUUUGAUUGAAUAUAUGAGAGAUUUUGUGUAGGAAAGAGUGGAGUAAAGGGAAUGGGGUAAAAAAUGAAUAUUCAGAGAAACUUUGAAAAUUUGAGAGGUUUGAAUAGAUAUUUGAGUGGUCAUUGUAUGAGUGGUAUUAAAAAUCCAAUGCAUAUAAAUACAGAAGAAAAGGGGAAAAUUGAAUUUAAAGUGACUAGCUUGCAUUUAACAGGUAAAUGUUUUAUUUCUGUAUAAAAAAAUCUUACCAUUGAUAACUUUUUAGUAGAUGGAAUAGGUUGAAACUUCAGACACUUGUAGUGAUUAUCUAAAAUGAUGGACACAGGUCCCAUUACUCUGACUUACAUUUACCUACAGAGUUAGUAAAAUAGUGAGGAAAUAAUUUUGCUCUUAUAAAACGUCAGCAAGUUGCUCUUGAGGAUUUAUAAUGAAUAAGGUAAGGAAAAUAUGGACGGGCAGACAUUUGUAACUCUACUCAAUUAUAGAUCUCAUAAUUUUCAUUCUGUUUAUGGGGGAAGAUAUUGUUUGUAACAUUAUAUACAUGAUUCUUUAUAGACUUCUUAAUGUAUUUGUGUAUCCUAUCUAUAUGUUAGUGUACGAAAAUUAACACUUAUAAUAAUUGUUGUUCAUUCCAUUACUGAUGUGGAGAAUUUGACAUUCACGUACGAAGAAGGCAUGGUGAAAUUAUAAAACCUUUGAAAUGCU